UACGAAGGGGGCUAGCGUUGCUCGGAAUCACUGGGCGUAAAGGGUGCGUAGGCGGGUCUUUAAGUCAGGGGUGAAAUCCUGGAGCUCAACUCCAGAACUGCCUUCGAUACUGGCGAUCUCGAGUCCGGAAGAGGUGAGUGGAACUCCUAGUGUAGAGGUGGAAUUCGUAGAUAUUAGGAAGAACACCAGGUGCGAAGGCGGU
rnacentral:rRNA from 1 species